rnacentral:rRNA from 1 species
GAUGAACGCUGGCGGCGUGCCUAAUACAUGCAAGUCGAGCGAACAGACGAGGAGCUUGCUCCUCUGACGUUAGCGGCGGACGGUGAGUAACACGUGGAUAACCUACCUAUAAGACUGGGAUAACUUCGGGAAACCGGAGCUAAUACCGGAUAAUAUAUUGAACCGCAUGGUUCAAUAGUGAAAGACGGUUUUGCUGUCACUUAUAGAUGGAUCCGCGCCGCAUUAGCUAGUUGGUAAGGUAACGGCUUACCAAGGCGACGAUGCGUAGCCGACCUGAGAGGGUGAUCGGCCACACUGGAACUGAGACACGGUCCAGACUCCUACGGGAGGCAGCAGUAGGGAAUCUUCCGCAAUGGGCGAAAGCCUGACGGAGCAACGCCGCGUGAGUGAUGAAGGUCUUCGGAUCGUAAAACUCUGUUAUUAGGGAAGAACAAAUGUGUAAGUAACUAUGCACGUCUUGACGGUACCUAAUCAGAAAGCCGCGGCUAACUACGUG